GAGUUUGAUCGUGGCUCAGAUUGAACGCUGGCGGCAUGCCUUACACAUGCAAGUCGAACGGCAGCAUGAUCUAGCUUGCUAGAUUGAUGGCGAGUGGCGAACGGGUGAGUAAUACAUCGGAACGUGCCCUGUAGUGGGGGAUAACUAGUCGAAAGAUUAGCUAAUACCGCAUACGACCUGAGGGUGAAAGUGGGGGACCGCAAGGCCUCAUGCUAUAGGAGCGGCCGAUGUCUGAUUAGCUAGUUGGUGGGGUAAAGGCCCGACCAAGGCGGCGAUCAGUAGCUGGUCUGAGAGGACGAUCAGCCACACUGGGACUGAGACACGGCCCAGACUCCUACGGGAGGCAGCAGUGGGAAUUUUGGACAAUGGGCGAAAGCCUGAUCCAGCAAUGCCGCGUGUGUG
rnacentral:rRNA from 1 species